rnacentral:rRNA from 1 species
UUGGAGGGCAAGUCUGGUGCCAGCAGCCGCGGUAAUUCCAGCUCCAAUAGCGUAUAUUAAAGUUGCUGCAGUUAAAAAGCUCGUAGUUGAAUUUCGGAAUCAAUUUGUUGGUCGUGCCUCGGUACGUACUGGUAUUAUUGGUUUCUACCUUCUGAAGAACCUUGAUGUCAUUAAUUUGGUGUCGUGGGGAAUCAGGACUGUUACUUUGAAAAAAUUAGAGUGUUUAAAGCAGGCUCACGCUUGAAUACAUUAGCAUGGAAUAAUGAAAUAGGACGUUUGAUUCUAUUUUGUUGGUUUCUAGGAUCGACGUAAUGAUUAAUAGGGAUAGUUGGGGGCAUUAGUAUUCAAUUGUCAGAGGUGAAAUUCUUGGAUUUAUUGAAGACUAACUACUGCGAAAGCAUUUGCCAAGGAUGUUUUCAUUAAUCAAGAACGAAAGUUAGGGGAUCGAAGACGAUCAGAUACCGUCGUAGUCUUAACCAUAAACUAUGCCGACUAGGGAUCGGAUGAUGUUAAUUUUUUAAUGACUCAUUCGGCGCCUUACGGGAAAC